rnacentral:tRNA from 1 species
GGUUAUGUACUUUAUUUAAAAGACUUAGCUUGCACCUAAAACUAGAGGCCUACUCCGUAACCAC